UACGAAGGGGGGCUAGCGUUGCUCGGAAUGACUGGGCGUAAAGGGCGCGUAGGCGGACGGCUUUGUCGGGCGUGAAAUUCCAGGGCUUAACCUUGGGGGUGCGUUCGAGACGGGUUGUCUUGAGUGGGGAAGAGGGUCGUGGAAUUCCCAGUGUAGAGGUGAAAUUCGUAGAUAUUGGGAAGAACACCGGUGGCGAAGGCGGCGACCUGGUCCUUGACUGACGCUGAGGCGCGAAAGCGUGGGUAGCAAACAGG
rnacentral:rRNA from 1 species